rnacentral:rRNA from 1 species
UACAGAGGUCCCGAGCGUUGUUCGGAUUCACUGGGCGUAAAGGGUGCGUAGGUGGGCAAGUAAGUCAGUGGUGAAAUCUCCGGGCUUAACCCGGAAACUGCCAUUGAUACUAUUUGUCUUGAAUACUGUGGAGGUCAGCGGAAUAUGUCAUGUAGCGGUGAAAUGCGUAGAUAUGACAUAGAACACCAAUUGCGAAGGCAGCUGGCUACACAAAUAUUGACACUGAGGCACGAAAGCGUGGGGAUCAAACAGG